CGCGGCCUAUCAGCUUGUUGGUGGGGUAGUGGCUUACCAAGGCUUUGACGGGUAGCCGGCCUGAGAGGGUGACCGGCCACAUUGGGACUGAGAUACGGCCCAGACUCCUACGGGAGGCAGCAGUGGGGAAUAUUGCACAAUGGGCGGAAGCCUGAUGCAGCAACGCCGCGUGCGGGAUGACGGCCUUCGGGUUGUAAACCGCUUUCGCCUGUGACGAAGCGUGAGUGACGGUAAUGGGUAAAGAAGCACCGGCUAACUACGUGCCAGCAGCCGCGGUGAUACGUAGGGUGCGAGCGUUGUCCGGAUUUAUUGGGCGUAAAGGGCUCGUAGGUGGUUGAUCGCGUCGGAAGUGUAAUCUUGGGGCUUAACCCUGAGCGUGCUUUCGAUACGGGUUGACUUGAGGAAGGUAGGGGAGAAUGGAAUUCCUGGUGGAGCGGUGGAAUGCGCAGAUAUCAGGAGGAACACCAGUGGCGAAGGCGGUUCUCUGGGCCUUUCCUGACGCUGAGGAGCGAAAGCGUGGGGAGCGAACAGGCUUAGAUACCCUGGUAGUCCACGCUGUAAACGGUGGGUACUAGGUGUGGGGUCCAUUCCACGGGUUCCGUGCCGUAGCUAACGCUUUAAGUAUUAAUGAUGGGGAGUACGG
rnacentral:rRNA from 1 species